AUUGAACGCUGGCGGCAUGCUUUACACAUGCAAGUCGAACGGUAACAGGGUGCUUGCACCGCUGACGAGUGGCGAACGGGUGAGUAAUGCGUCGGAACGUGCCGAGUAGUGGGGGAUAACGCAGCGAAAGUUGUGCUAAUACCGCAUACGUACUGAGGUAGAAAGUGGGGGACCUUCGGGCCUCACGCUAUUCGAGCGGCCGACGUCUGAUUAGCUAGUAGGUGAGGUAAAGGCUCACCUAGGCGACGAUCAGUAGCGGGUCUGAGAGGCUGAUCCGCCACACUGGGACUGAGACACGGCCCAGACUCCUACGGGGGGCAGCAGUGGGGAAUUUUGGACAAUGGGCGAAAGCCUGAUCCAGCCAUGCCGCGUGUCUGAAGAAGGCCUUCGGGUUGUAAAGGACUUUUGUCAGGGAGGAAAUCCCUAGUGCUAAUAACACUGGGGGAUGACAGUACCUGAAGAAUAAGCACCGGCUAACUACGUGCCAGCCGCCGCAGUAA
rnacentral:rRNA from 1 species